rnacentral:lncRNA from 1 species
ACAAAGCAUAACUGCGAGCUGGGCUGGCCCUUGAGCUGCCAAUUGCCAGCCCAGGCAGCUCUUUUCCACGCACCACACCAGGAUUGUAGACAGGGACACCGAGGCACAGGUGGAAGGGCGACUCUGGUGGUCUCGCACGGCUGAGGCACAGCAGCCUGGGAUGAGCUGGCAGGCUGCAGCCGCCUAGUGAAGAGCCUUGAAUGCCUGUUGGUGCCUAAUAAAGGAGGAAUGGAAUGGGACUUCUUGUUCUGUCACCGCAGGAUUCCGGCGAGGCCUGUCUAGGGGUUCUGGUGAGAGAAAAGCGUGACAGGAAGCGCAUGCCAGCAGGCACUUGGAGAUGUACCCUUGGUGACAUGCACAGGCACGGCAGCCGCCCCACCCACCACAGGCCUCCGCUCGGGACAGCGGGGCACACGCACAAUACAGACGAGGCCCAGAGAUGCAGAGACCCCCAACAAACCUUCUCCAUGCUAGGGAGACAGGAGAUCCAGCUGGGAAUGAGCCCAUAUCAUGAAGCCCCUCCCUCAGGAGCUCAUACCGGAGCCCAGGAGCCUUGUCCCACCCCAGGGCCUUCGCACUCACCAUUCCCUGGCGGGAGUGAGUGUUCCAGCACAGGGCUCCACAGGCAGGACCCUUGAUACCUUUCAAAUCUCAGAGAGGCCUCCCCGACCCCACCCACAUGACUCCAUCCCAGUGACCUGUUU